rnacentral:misc_RNA from 1 species
CCGCCGGAGUUUGCACGUCUUUGAUUUCAAAGCCGAGAUGGCGAAUGGCAUUUCUCACGCUACGGACAUUUCCGGCGCCAUAGUCGAGCAGAGUCACUGCAGAAUCGGCGGGGGAACCUGGAGUGAGAGAUUUCUUGGAGGCUUGAACUUUGAUCGGCGGAAGUCAAUAUUAUAGAAACUUUUGGACAGUGAAAUGAGAGAAGACGAGGACAAAGAUGAAAUUCUGGAAGGUUUACAAGAAGAACAAGGAGGAGGCAGAGAAGCAAAUGACGCCGCCUCCAUUGCAGCUAAACUGCCGUCU